rnacentral:rRNA from 1 species
GAUGAACGCUGGCGGCGUGCCUAAUACAUGCAAGUCGAGCGAACGGACGCGAAGCCUGCUUCUCUGAUGUUAGCGGCGGACGGGUGAGUAACACGUGGAUAACCUACCUAUCAGACUGGGAUAACUUCGGGAAACCGGCGCUUAUACCGGAUAAUAUUUUGAACCGCAUGGUUCAAAAGUGAAAGACUUUCUUGCUGUCACUUAUCGAUGGAUCCGCGCUGCAUUAGCUAGUUGGUAAGGUAACGGCUUACCAAGGCAACGAUGCAUAGCCGACCUGAGAGGGUGAUCGGCCACACUGGAACUGAGACACGGUCCAGACGACUACGGGAGGCAGCAGUAGGGAAUCGUCCGCAAUGGGCGAAAGCCUGACGGAGCAACGCCGCGUGAGUGAUGAAGGUCUUCGGAGCGUAAAACUCUGUUAUUAGGGAAGAACAUAUGUGAAAGUAACAGUGCACAUCGUGACGGUACCUAAUCAGAAAGCCACGGCUAACUACGUG